GAGCUGUAGGGCUAACUCCUCAGCCCGACUCUUAUCGCUCCCCAUCUCUCAUCCGGCACCCAGUCUUUCCGGCUGGGUGGCUGCACCUCCAAGAGGGAGAGGAGGAGGAAGCGAGGGGACCAAUACACUGGGAGGAAGUGACCUGACCAGACCUUUGCUCUCUAACUCCGGCUGGACAGAGGCAGCCCAGCAGCCCCCUAGCAUCCAUCUGGCUUGGGGAGUGGUGCCCCAGGGCUUAUGAGUGAGCUGGAACCCCAUGUCCUGGAAUCCCGAGUGGCUGUGACUGCUGACUGAUGCCCCCCUCCCCACAGUUCUGGAGAGUGGCUCAGCAGUCUCCCCGAGCUCCGGCCCUAGCAGUCCUCCCGUCUCCCCUCUGUCUGGACAUCGCCUUCUUACAAUGCAGAACAGACGAUGCACUGUCUCAGGUCACGCUUAGCCUCCUACGGGGGCACGACAGAAGAAGAGGAACAUUUAGAGAGGCACAGCUCCUACAUCCUUGGAUGGGGAGAGUGGGGAGCAAACAGGCCAGGAGCCUACUGUGAUCAGAGCUGGGGGAGCCAGUGUGAGCAGCAGGGUGAGUGGGGUGUGCAUGGGUGUGCACGCUCAGGGGGGUGGGGGGCUUGAGGGGUGGCAGGGGGACCCUACGGGAUGUUGCUUUUCAGCCUGGCGCUGCCUCGCUGAGUAGCCUGAGACUAGGAAAAGGCUUAAAGAAUUCACAGUGGGAAGGCUGCAGCCUGACUCUGCUCCUGGCCGGCGUUUGCCCGCUGCCUGGCCCUGGCUGUUCCAACGAUGGACUUCCUUCCUCUUUGGCCAUAAAAGUCUCCCGGAAAGCCUUCCCACAGAGGCCCCGGGGGCUUUCUCAGGGAAUGUGUGAGUGUGUGCUCACACAAGCACUGUGGAGCAGGAGCCCAGGGCCGCGUGCAGGCUCUCCCACAGAGCUGUGGGUCCUGGCGCUGGAGGAGAGGUUCGUCCCAGCCUGGGUGGAGAGCGGAGGAAAGGCUGGCCCUUGCCUGGACUUGGGCCCUGGCUUAUGCAAUGCUCAGACUCUUAGUCAACUUCAGCAACUGGGGCACAUCCACACGCAUGUGCACACACGUGCAGGCACACACCCGGGCAGGGAGGUGUGAGGAAGGGAGACCAAUGAGCCUGUGCCAAGCUCUGCUUACAGAUCUCCCCAGAUCUGGAGAGAAAAGGGGAGCCCUUCUCCAAGAGGGGGCUGCGCUCAGGCUGCUAGGGUAUGAUGAUGGCUCCAAGCCUGUGGCUGAGGUUGGAUGGACCAUUGAGAGGAGCCCUCCAGGGUGAGGGGACAGAAGCCCAUCAGUCCGUAUUGAUGGAAUGUGGCUACAGUGUGGAGAGAAGAAGAUACUUUCUCUUCCUGCCCCAGAAGGUACCCAAGCCUCCGGGAUGCUGGGUCACAGAACCCGCCUGGCAGAGAGUUGCAUCAGAGCGAAACUGCAUGCUAGAUGCCUGAGGGGAGAGGGCACUGAGGACUUGUGAUCCUAAUUUCCCAACCUUCAGCUGCUCAGGGUCAAGUCCUUAGGCUCCACUUGCUCUUCUCCCCUCCCCAGCAUUCUUCUGUACUAGGUUGCACAUGAUGAGGGUGGUCUGAGGGGAGAACAAGGAGGGGGUGUGACUCAGAGUUCACCCGGCUGUCAGCAGCCCUGAGUCAGAGGGAGGGUGGGGAGGUGGGUGGAACAGCUUUUGGUAGUCUUGGGGUUCCCUAUAAGCAAGAGCAUCCCAGAAAAAUAGAAGAGAGCCCCCCAGAAGCUACGAGGCUCCCACAUGCAGGGUAGGCCUUUUCUCGGCCACCACUACACACCCCAGGAGAACAGGAGAGGCCUCCACGAGUCCUGGAUGAUUUAGGUGCGGACUUGCCUGGGGGAAGGGUGUUGGCCCAGAGGACCCCUUGGGUACCUCUGAACUCUGGGAUUCUGCAGAGAGGCCUCACCACAUCAAUGCUUUUUGCUCUGUGUACCCAGAUGGGUCUGUGGAGAAUUUGGGGGGUUCCACUGCUGGGACUGGGGAGAUGACAAUCUGGGGUCAGGGGACUGAGGUGGGUGUGGGAUGUGGGAACAGGAGGGGUGUCCCAUAGCACCAGUGGAGCUUCUGCAUCUGCUUCAGGGCUCUUGUUUUCCUGGAAGUAGGAAGGAGAGUGGGGAUGGCUGGAAAGUUCUGAAAAUUGCUUUUUGCUUAUGUAUGGUCUUGGCAAAGAAGCUGUGGGGUGUGUUCCUUCUUUAUCAUAGCUGGCAGCCCUGACUUCCCAUAAUACAAUGAUUGGGAGGCUGAGGCCUGGUUACUUGGUGCUUCCUCCACGUGUCUCUGUAGACCUCUCUGCAGCUCUUCUUGUUUUAGCUCCGUAGGCAAGACAUCCCAUUGAUGUAAUGUCAGCCUAGGAGCACAACUGUCUUCCCGGGCUCACGGCCUCCACCUACCCAGCUAGAGCUGGAGAGCCAUGCCCUCCCCAGGCCCUGCAUCUCCUCCCUCCCUGGUCAGGGGUGUCACCAGCAAGGGCACGGCCACCAAACACAGCCUGUGGAUCAGCUCUCUGAGAUGGCCCUCGUUUGCUCACUGUCUGAACAGAGCAUUUCCUUUCCUUCCCUUCCUGUGAGCAGAUUCCCCAUCCAGGUGGGUAGCUGCGGCCAGCUAUGCAGGCACCAAUGAGCUGCAAGGGAGGUCAGCCACCCUUUAGCCAGGUCCACCCCCUGCCUUUUACAGAGGAGCAAAUUCAGGGCCACGGCAUCCAUAGGACCAGUCACGGGCAGCAGUGUGGAUCUACAACCCA